rnacentral:rRNA from 1 species
UACGUAGGGUGCAAGCGUUGUCCGGAAUUAUUGGGCGUAAAGAGCUCGUAGGCGGUUUGUCGCGUCUGCUGUGAAAACUCGGGGCUUAACCCUGGGUCUGCGGUGGGUACGGGCAGACUAGAGUGUGGUAGGGGAGACUGGAAUUCCUGGUGUAGCGGUGAAAUGCGCAGAUAUCAGGAGGAACACCGAUGGCGAAGGCAGGUCUCUGGGCCACUACUGACGCUGAGAAGCGAAAGCAUGGGGAGCAAACAGG